rnacentral:snRNA from 1 species
GUGCUUGCUUCGGCAGCACAUAUACUGUGAAAUGAUACAGAGAAGAUUAUUAGCAUGGCCCCUGCGCAAGGAUGACACACAAAUUCAUGAAGCAUUCCAUAUUUUU